rnacentral:RNase_P_RNA from 2 species
GACAGAGGGAGCCCGACUCCCGUGCCUCUGGCAUGAGGAAAGUCCCCCCACCGGCCGGACAGGCGACCGGGCACACGCCCGGAGUCGGAGACGGCUGGCUCUGGAACAGCAACGACACCCCCCACCCCGACCCGUGAUUCGCGCGAUCGCUUCGGCGAUCGCGGCGGCCGCGGGAUCACCCGCGACCGCGCGAACCGACCCGCAAGGGAAGGGAGUUAACCCGAUGAGGAUCGACGGGUGGGAACGGAUGGAACGGCGAAUCCUCGCCGGUGCAAGUCCGCGCCACAAGGUAGUCCGGCCACGGCGCGGACGCUUAGCCGAAUGUCGGGAUGAACCGAAGGGGGCUUACUCCCCUCAGUC